UAAAAAGUAGCUUUAAAAUGUGAAUUGGCUAGAACAAUACAGAGAUUAGCAUGUUCCCUCCACAAGGAUGACAUGCAAAUUCAUGAAGCAUUCCAUAUAAAA
ensembl:snRNA U6 U6 spliceosomal RNA